rnacentral:lncRNA from 1 species
CUCAGAGACCAUCAGGCCUGGCUCUCCUUCCAGCUGGCGCUGGCUCAUCUCUUCAGAGAGGUUGUGGGUGUCUCCUCCUCCUCACUUCUCCCUCCCAGGGUGCACUGGCUGACUGCUUGAGGCAGCUGAGGACCAGCGGGCCUGGACACUGCGGAACUGGGCCUGGUACUUCUUGCUUUUGAAAACACUCCUGAAGCCUGUACCUCAGGGUUUUUUCCUCCUUUUAUGGCUCUGAUGACUUUUCUGGAGGGAAGUAUUGGUGUUCUGGUACCAGCUGGCAAGGGAGAUACACACCCUGACUCAUCUGAACAACUUUCUUGAGAUCUGAUUUGUCUUGAUGGUACCAAGAGGCUCCCACCUCCUGGAAUUCCUCUGCCUGGGGAUUGAUCCAAGCUUUGUGGGACUUGCAGCUUAAACAAUUCAGAGGCUUUUUUAAGAAAGAAGACAAAAUUAGAUCUGAAAAUAUUUAGGAUGACACAAGAAAUCACAACAAAUUGGUGAGGCAGGAGAUUCAAGGCCCUUCCU